AACGAACGCUGGCGGCAGGCCUAACACAUGCAAGUCGAGCGAAGCCUUCGGGCUUAGCGGCGGACGGGUGAGUAACGCGUGGGAACGUGCCCUUUGGUACGGAAUAGCCCCGGGAAACUGGGAGUAAUACCGUAUGUGGUCGAGAGACGAAAGAUUUAUUGCCAAAGGAUCGGCCCGCGUUGGAUUAGGUAGUUGGUGGGGUAAUGGCCUACCAAGCCGACGAUCCAUAGCUGGUUGGAGAGGAUGAUCAGCCACACUGGGACUGAGACACGGGCCGGAGUCCUACGGGAGGGAGGAGUGGGGAAUCUUAGACAAUGGGGGAAACCCUGAUCUAGCCAUGCCGCGUGAUCGAUGAAGUCCUUAGGGUUGUAAAGAUCUUUCAGUGGGGAAGAUAAUGACUGUACCCACAGAAGAAGCCCCGGCUAACUCCGUGCCAGCCGCUGCGGUAACAC
rnacentral:rRNA from 1 species